rnacentral:rRNA from 1 species
AGAGUUUGAUCCUGGCUCAGAUUGAACGCUGGCGGCAGGCCUAACACAUGCAAGUCGAGCGGUAGCACAGAGAGCUUGCUCUCGGGUGACGAGCGGCGGACGGGUGAGUAAUGUCUGGGAAACUGCCUGAUGGAGGGGGAUAACUACUGGAAACGGUAGCUAAUACCGCAUAACGUCGCAAGACCAAAGUGGGGGACCUUCGGGCCUCAUGCCAUCAGAUGUGCCCAGAUGGGAUUAGCUGGUAGGUGGGGUAACGGCUCACCUAGGCGACGAUCCCUAGCUGGUCUGAGAGGAUGACCAGCCACACUGGAACUGAGACACGGUCCAGACUCCUACGGGAGGCAGCAGUGGGGAAUAUUGCACAAUGGGCGCAAGCCUGAUGCAGCCAUGCCGCGUGUGUGAAGAAGGCCUUCGGGUUGUAAAGCACUUUCAGCGGGGAGGAAGGCGGUGAGGUUAAUAACCUCAUCGAUUGACGUUACCCGCAGAAGAAGCACCGGCUAACUCCGUGCCAGCAGCCGCGGUAAUACGGAGGGUGCAAGCGUUAAUCGGAAUUACUGGGCGUAAAGCGCACGCAGGCGGUCUGUCAAGUCGGAUGUGAAAUCCCCGGGCUCAACCUGGGAACUGCAUUCGAAACUGGCAGGCUAGAGUCUUGUAGAGGGGGGUAGAAUUCCAGGUGUAGCGGUGAAAUGCGUAGAGAUCUGGAGGAAUACCGGUGGCGAAGGCGGCCCCCUGGACAAAGACUGACGCUCAGGUGCGAAAGCGUGGGGAGCAAACAGGAUUAGAUACCCUGGUAGUCCACGCUGUAAACGAUGUCGAUUUGGAGGUUGUGCCCUUGAGGCGUGGCUUCCGGAGCUAACGCGUUAAAUCGACCGCCUGGGGAGUACGGCCGCAAGGUUAAAACUCAAAUGAAUUGACGGGGGCCCGCACAAGCGGUGGAGCAUGUGGUUUAAUUCGAUGCAACGCGAAGAACCUUACCUGGUCUUGACAUCCACAGAACUUAGCAGAGAUGCUUUGGUGCCUUCGGGAACUGUGAGACAGGUGCUGCAUGGCUGUCGUCAGCUCGUGUUGUGAAAUGUUGGGUUAAGUCCCGCAACGAGCGCAACCCUUAUCCUUUGUUGCCAGCGGUUCGGCCGGGAACUCAAAGGAGACUGCCAGUGAUAAACUGGAGGAAGGUGGGGAUGACGUCAAGUCAUCAUGGCCCUUACGACCAGGGCUACACACGUGCUACAAUGGCAUAUACAAAGAGAAGCGACCUCGCGAGAGCAAGCGGACCUCAUAAAGUAUGUCGUAGUCCGGAUUGGAGUCUGCAACUCGACUCCAUGAAGUCGGAAUCGCUAGUAAUCGUAGAUCAGAAUGCUACGGUGAAUACGUUCCCGGGCCUUGUACACACCGCCCGUCACACCAUGGGAGUGGGUUGCAAAAGAAGUAGGUAGCUUAACCUUCGGGAGGGCGCUUACCACUUUGUGAUUCAUGACUGGGGUGAAGUCGUAACAAGGUAGCCGUA